rnacentral:rRNA from 1 species
UGGGGAAUAUUGCACAAUGGGCGCAAGCCUGAUGCAGCCAUGCCGCGUGUAUGAAGAAGGCCUUCGGGUUGUAAAGUACUUUCAGUCGGGGGGAGGUGGUAAGGUUAAUAACCUUAUCAAUUGACGUUACCGACAGAAGAAGCACCGGCUAACUCCGUUCCAACAGCCGCGGUAAUACGGAGGGUGCAAGCGUUAAUCGGAAUUACUGGGCGUAAAGCGCACGCAGGCGGUCUGUCAAGUCGGAUGUGAAAUCCCCGGGCUUAACCUGGGAACUGCAUUCGAAACUGGCAGGCUAGAGUCUUGUAGAGGGGGGUAGAAUUCCAGGUGUAGCGGUGAAAUGCGUAGAGAUCUGGAGGAAUACCGGUGGCGAAGGCGGCCCCCUGGACGAAGACUGACGCUCAGGUGCGAAAGCGUGGGGAGCAAACAGG